rnacentral:rRNA from 1 species
GACGAACGCGGCGGCGUGCUUAACACAUGCAAGUCGAACGGAGCGAAUGAAAGCUUGCUUUUAUAAGCUUAGUGGCAAACGGGUGAGUAACACGUAGGCAACCUGCCGACAGGAUGGGGACAACAUUCCGAAAGGAAUGCUAAUACCGAAUGAAGUCGAGGGAGGGCAUCCUCCUCCGAUGAAAGAUGGCCUCUAUAUAUAAGCUAUCACCUGUCGAUGGGCCUGCGUCUGAUUAGCUGGUAGGUGAGGUAACGGCUCACCUAGGCGACGAUCAGUAGCCGGUCUGAGAGGAUGAACGGCCACAUUGGGACUGAGACACGGCCCAGACUCCUACGGGAGGCAGCAGUGGGGAAUCUUCCGCAAUGGGCGCAAGCCUGACGGAGCAACGCCGCGUGAGUGAAGAAGGUCUUCGGAUCGUAAAGCUCUGUUGAUGGGGACGAACGUGCCUAAUGCGAAUAGUAUUAGGUAAUGACG